rnacentral:rRNA from 1 species
UACGUAGGGUGCAAGCGUUGUCCGGAAUUAUUGGGCGUAAAGAGCUCGUAGGCGGUCUGUCGCGUCGGCUGUGAAAUCCCGGAGCUCAACUCCGGGUCGGCCGUGCGAACUGGGGGACUGGAGCUUGUCAGAGGCAGGCGGAAUUCCGGGUGUAGCGGUGGAAUGCGUAGAGAUCCGGAAGAACACCGGUGGCGAAGGCGGCCUGCUGGGACAAUGCUGACGCUGAGGCGCGACAGCGUGGGGAGCAAACAGG